UACGUAGGGAGCAAGCGUUGUCCGGAAUCAUUGGGCGUAAAGCGCGCGUAGGUGGCCCGGUAAGUCCGCUCUGAAAGUCAAAGGCUCAACCUUUGAAAGCGGGUGGAUACUGCCAGGCUAGAGUCCGGAAGAGGCGAGUGGAAUUCCUGGUGUAGCGGUGAAAUGCGCAGAUAUCAGGAAGAACACCCGUGGCGAAGGCGGUUCUCUGGGACGGUACUGACGCUGAGACGCGAAAGCGUGGGGAGCGAACAGG
rnacentral:rRNA from 1 species